UGAACGCGGGAGUAUGGCGAGAGUUCAUCCCUUUCGACAUACAGCUUACUCACCAGUCACCCCCAGUGAUAGUGAUUGCACCGGUGAUCUCUGCUCCCAAAACUAUCUUCACUCGAUUUCAAUUCACAUGGUUGAUUUCAGAUAGCAUUUGCGGUGAUUCAACUACUCGGAUAUGAAUUUGAUUCCUCAUUUCCAAGCAAGCUAGUUUGUUGAAUUUUGAGGAUGUCAAGUUAUGAAGUUCAUCACUAGCCCACAUGGGAAAAAUGAAUAAGUUGGUGAUUAUGCAGACAGCAACACCCAUACCAAUUGCAAUUAGACGUAGGCGGGCUACAUCCAGUAUUUUAUCCGCACGCACACCAGAUACUGCUACUAGAUUGAAAGUGAGUAUGAAUAUCAUGAUCCCAUAAUCCCAUCUCCUCUUUAUGCUUGGAAUCAUUCGACAAUAUGUUGCCACAGCACCUGUAGAUUAUAUAUUAUUCUUUAUUAACAUUCUUGAUCAUAGUUAUAUACUUAUCUGUAACGAACCUUUUCGAUAUAUUAUACACUGUGUUUAAUCUAUUAUUACCUAAAACAAAAACCGACAUUCCAGAAACUGUUGUGUAACCGAUCUUUCCAAAAUCUUCUGCUAAAAAUGCUACCAAACACCCCAGUGCACCUCCGAGUAUGGUUCCAAUUACACGAAGUAACCCUUUGCUUAAUGUAGCACCUGUCGUUUAUCAUCAUAUAGUGUGUACUUGUAAGAGUUUAAAAGUUGAUCACUUCACAUGCUACUAAAGUUACAAAAUAAAUAAAGUUAAAUGUGUUAGAACUGAUGACAAACCUGCAAAGAAGUCGUAGAUAAGCACAACAGUCAUGAUAGCCCACAUGGAACUUUCACCAACGUGAUUGAAAAGUGGAUCAAGGAGAUACAGAAGUGAAACCAAAAUCAAAGCAGUUCCAACCUUGAUACUAUGAAUAACUUUUUUUUCAUGCUGUUCAAGAUAUUUGGCUAUAGAAUACCAAACAUUAGAAACAAAAAAGAGUUUGUUUUGCUUCUCGUGAUUGCGAGAAGCUUCAUUUUCGUUAGAAAUAUCUAUUGUGGUGCUCAUAUUUUGCUCACUCUUCUCUUUGGGUCGAGUCGCACUUCUUUAUAUAGGAAUUGGUGGACAUACACAAAUAAAAGGUAACAAUGAAGUCUGGAAAAGCGCAAGUGCCAAGUGGACAUUUGUCUCCUAACCGAAGAUGAACAAAGCAAGAAGUCCGAGGACAUGGAGUCUGACUGAGUACCUAAUGCAUAUGAUCUCAUAAAGAAGAAACCAAAUACUCGAGUGUUCGGUAAAGUGCAAUGACAGGUACAACCUAUAAGCCUUUCAUUUCAAUUCAUGGCUAUGCAUCAACUAAGAACUGAUCCGAAUGGGGUCCCCUGAUGACGACGAUGUUUGGCUAUUUCAGAACAAGGUUUAGGAGACAAUGCUAGAAAAUAGAGAUGACAAUUGGGCGAGUUGGGUAUCGUGUUAAAACGAGUGAUUUUAAAAAGUAGUCAAAUGGGUUGGGUUGGGUUGGGUUGGGUCGGGUUGAUCUAGUAAUUUUUUUUUUUUUUUAAUUCUAUAAUAACCUUUUUUUGUAAACAGAUCUAAAAUUAAUCGGUGGAUAGUAAGUUGCAGCAUCAAAAGUAUGGGUCAAAACUAUUUUUAUUUGAUCCGUGGAAUUCUAUGAUUAUAGAAUGGGUCAGCAUAUGCUAGAUUAUUUUGUAAUUGCGCAUUUUUUGUAACCUCAUUUGGUACUCUUUAAGUGUUCUAUAAAAUUUAAAGAAAACUGACAACAAAAUGUUAACAAGUCAAUACUACCUGACCCGACCCGACCUGAGCCACAUUUUAAAACACUUUUUUGUUUUAGCCUAUUUUGGCUGGUUUCAAUAAGCCAUUUCAGCCAAGUUAACAAAAACCUAUCAUAGAUUGACCCAGUUCUUGCAUAACCCGUCUCUUCUACCAAAAAAAGGUGAAUUGUUUGCACGAGUAACGAUUAACAUGUGGUAGAAAUCAAAAGAAAGAUGAUUUUUUUAUUUUUAUUUUUUUAUAGCAAUGGAGCUAUGAAAGUAUGAAAUCCAUUGACCCAAAGUUUGGUAUCUGUCUAGUGUGGGCUCAUAUUGACUACUGUGAUAGAUUCUUUGAAUCUAAAUUCAAAUAAAAAGUUGU
rnacentral:lncRNA from 1 species